AGCGAACGCUGGCGGCAGGCCUAACACAUGCAAGUCGAACGAACUCUUCGGAUUUAGUGGCGGACGGGUGCGUAACACGUGGGAACGUGCCUUUUGGUUCGGAAUAACUCAGGGAAACUUGUGCUAAUACCGAAUGUGCCCUUCGGGGGAAAGAUUUAUCGCCAUUAGAGCGGCCCGCGUCUGAUUAGCUAGUUGGUGAGGUAACGGCUCACCAAGGCGACGAUCAGUAGCUGGUCUGAGAGGAUGACCAGCCACACUGGGACUGAGACACGGCCCAGACUCCUACGGGAGGCAGCAGUGGGGAAUCUUGCGCAAUGGGCGAAAGCCUGACGCAGCCAUGCCGCGUGAAUGAUGAAGGUCUUAGGAUUGUAAAAUUCUUUCACCGGGGACGAUAAUGACGGUACCCGGAGAAGAAGCCCCGGCUAACUUCGUG
rnacentral:rRNA from 1 species